rnacentral:rRNA from 1 species
AUUGAACGCUGGCGGCAUGCCUUACACAUGCAAGUCGAACGGCAGCGCGGGGCAACCUGGCGGCGAGUGGCGAACGGGUGAGUAAUAUAUCGGAACAUACCCUAGAGUGGGGGAUAACGUAGCGAAAGUUACGCUAAUACCGCAUACGCACUAAGGUGGAAAGUGGGGGAUCUUCGGACCUCAUGCUCAUGGAGUGGCCGAUAUCUGAUUAGCUAGUUGGUGAGGUAAAGGCUCACCAAGGCGGCGAUCAGUAGCUGGUUUGAGAGAACGACCAGCCACACUGGAACUGAGACACGGUCCAGACUCCUACGGGAGGCAGCAGUGGGGAAUUUUGGACAAUGGGGGCAACCCUGAUCCAGCAAUGCCGCGUGAGUGAAGAAGGCCUCGGUUGUAAGACUCUUUGUCUAGGGAAGAACGGAGAGU